CCUACGGGAGGCUGCAGUGAGGAAUAUUGGUCAAUGGACGAGAGUCUGAACCAGCCAAGUAGCGUGAAGGAUGACUGCCCUAUGGGUUGUAAACUUCUUUUAUAUGGGAAUAAAAUGUUCCACGUGUGGGAUUUUGUAUGUACCAUAUGAAUAAGGAUCGGCUAACUCCGUGCCAGCAGCCGCGGUACUACGGAGGAUCCGAGCGUUAUCCGGAUUUAUUGGGUUUAAAGGGAGAGUAGGUGGAUUGUUAAGUCAGUUGUGAAAGUUUGCGGCUCAACCGUAAAAUUGCAGUUGAAACUGGCAGACUUGAGUACAGUAGAGGUGAGCGGAAUUCGUGGUGUAGCGGUGAAAUGCUUAGAUAUCACGAAGAACUCCGAUUGCGAAGGCAGCUAACUGGAAUGCAACUGACACUGAGGAUCGAAAGUGUGGGUAUCAAACAGGAUUAGAUACCCGAGUAGUC
rnacentral:rRNA from 1 species